GUUGAACGCUGGCGGCAGGCCUAACACAUGCAAGUCGAGCGGAUGAAGGGAGCUUGCUCCUGGAUUCAGCGGCGGACGGGUGAGUAAUGCCUAGGAAUCUGCCUGGUAGUGGGGGAUAACGUCCGGAAACGGGCGCUAAUACCGCAUACGUCCUGAGGGAGAAAGUGGGGGAUCUUCGGACCUCACGCUAUCAGAUGAGCCUAGGUCGGAUUAGCUAGUUGGUGGGGUAAAGGCCUACCAAGGCGACGAUCCGUAACUGGUCUGAGAGGAUGAUCAGUCACACUGGAACUGAGACACGGUCCAGACUCCUACGGGAGGCAGCAGUGGGGAAUAUUGGACAAUGGGCGAAAGCCUGAUCCAGCCAUGCCGCGUGUGUGAAGAAGGUCCUCGGAUUGUAAAGCACUUUAAGUUGGGAGGAAGGGCAGUAAGUUAAUACCUUGCUGUUUUGACGUUACCAACAGAAUAAGCACCGGCUAACUUCGUG
rnacentral:rRNA from 1 species